UGUGGUCUGCGAGGGGAGCAACAACCACGACUGCGACAACGACGACGACGACGACGGCAACAGCAGCAGCGCGGUACCAAGGAGACAACGGCGACAAAGGUUCGCAAUGAAGUGUGCAAUGAUACUUCACCAGGACGAGUUGUUGUGCCAGGUGGUGCUGGCUGCACGUGUUGGAAGACGCCAAAGAAAACGUAAACACGCAGAAGGGGACAUCGCGUCAAGCGGCAUUACCAAUUGUUUAUUUUUCGAGCAAGAACGGUGCACAAACAUAGAAGAUAUAAGGCGUCAUGGGACGGACAGAUUUUUCUGGGGUGCUCGCCAAAGAAUGCUUACCCAUUACUGUAGGACUGUAGGAAACCAAGGAAAUGGUGAUAACCCUCGUAAUAUCCUUUUGACUUGAGCCGGGUGUGAUGUAAACUGAGGCCAAAGCAACUUUCCCUUCCACGAAUGUAAUAUGGCUCAUACAUCUGCCUGCCACGCUGCGGUCCAUGGUUUGAAUACCGGUCAGAAGUAUGUUUAUUUAUU